rnacentral:rRNA from 1 species
GUGACGGUACUGCAGAAGAAGCGCCGGGCUAACUACGUGCCAGCAGCCGCGGUAAUACGUAGGGCGCAAGCGUUAUCCGGAAUUAUUGGGCGUAAAGAGCUCGUAGGCGGUUUGUCGCGUCUGCCGUGAAAGUCCGGGGCUUAACCCCGGAUCUGCGGUGGGUACGGGCAGACUAGAGUGCAGUAGGGGAGACUGGAAUUCCUGGUGUAGCGGUGAAAUGCGCAGAUAUCAGGAGGAACACCGAUGGCGAAGGCAGGUCUCUGGGCUGUAACUGACGCUGAGGAGCGAAAGCAUGGGGAGCGAACAGGAUUAGAUACCCUGGUAGUCCAUGCCGUAAACGUUGGGCACUAGGUGUGGGGGACAUUCCACGUUUUCCGCGCCGUAGCUAACGCAUUAAGUGCCCCGCCUGGGGAGUACGGCCGCAAGGCUAAAACUCAAAGGAAUUGACGGGGGCCCGCACAAGCGGCGGAGCAUGCGGAUUAAUUCGAUGCAACGCGAAGAACCUUACCAAGGCUUGACAUGAACCGGAAUGAUGCAGAGAUGUGUCAGCCACUUGUGGCCGGUUUACAGGUGGUGCAUGGUUGUCGUCAGCUCGUGUCGUGAGAUGUUGGGUUAAGUCCCGCAACGAGCGCAACCCUCGUUCCAUGUUGCCAGCGGGUUAUGCCGGGGACUCAUGGGAGACUGCCGGGGUCAACUCGGAGGAAGGUGGGGACGACGUCAAAUCAUCAUGCCCCUUAUGUCUUGGGCUUCACGCAUGCUACAAUGGCCGGUACAAAGGGUUGCGAUACUGUGAGGUGGAGCUAAUCCCAAAAAGCCGGUCUCAGUUCGGAUUGAGGUCUGCAACUCGACCUCAUGAAGUUGGAGUCGCUAGUAAUCGCAGAUCAGCAACGCUGCGGUGAAUACGUUCCCGGGCCUUGUACACACUACCCGUCAAGUCACG